GGAGGGGCCAUGGCUCACCAAUAGAGCAUCUGCUUUCCAAGCAGAAGGUUCCAGAUUCAAUCCGUGGCAUCUCCA
rnacentral:tRNA from 1 species